GGCCAGUGUGGUUUAGUGGUUGGACUGCUAGAAUAGGGCCUGGGGUUCAAAUCCCCACUUGGCCA